CUCACACAACUUUUCCAGUGUUGCAUGGAUUCCAGCCAGAGCACAAGCCUAUACCUCAAUGGCAAUGAUAUAUACCUACGGGGGAAGGAUGGCCAGCCACACAGGACGGUGAUUUUUACUAUGGAUGGGAAGGAGGCCGUGCUGACCGAAAUGUAUGCUGGCCAUUUCGGAGUGAACUAUAUGAAUGCUAAAAUCAACAUAUGCGUCUUCUGACUGGGAAUUGUCAAGGAGGUGGACAGUUGGGCAAGGGAAAUCACCUUUUGUUUAUCAAUCACAUUAUAUCAUAUCUGAAAUGAUUAUGAUUUCAAUUAAUGUCAUAUCAGAGAGCACACAAUGUUUCAAUUUGUCACUUUUUGCUUAAAGGUCAGUACCCUGUCUAGCCUGACAGAAGUUUGAGAGGGCGAAGACUGUGGCCCCAGAGUUGAAGCCCAUCAAAGUUGUUUCACCAUGGCAUAUGAUCGGUUUGGUGACUGACCAACCAGACCCUCAAGACUGCCAUUGGCAAGUCCCUUGAUUGGUACAGUACCAGGAAGGGUGGGAAAACAACCUGAAGAUAAUUGUCUUUGCACACAACAGCAGCAUCCAGGCCGAGUGUGGACAGGAGUUGUCGAACCAGAUCAGAACGCCUUCGAGUACUUCUCAGGAAGGAUGUGGAGGUUUUUGACCAGGAGAUAGGGGUUCUGCCCAUCACCCAGACGUGGAUCCACCCUAUGUCCUCCAUUACCUACCACCCUCUAACUCUUCAUUACAUCAUCUACAGCUACUUUUGUUGUCAUGUUGUCAUUAUCUGCUAAGAAAGUUUUCUUGCUCUAUCUAACACUAAAACACGCACUGCAAACGCGUAGAACAAAGAGAGCAGCAGUGCCUGGACUUUGCAGUCUCCCUCUUCAAGUCCCCCUUCUGAGACUGGCAGCCUGUUGAGAACAAGUGACAGGCAGAAUUCCACACACCAGGAUUCAGUAUUUUAGUCUAUGAUUGCCAUGUGAGUGCACAAAACAUCUGUGAAAAUAAAUUAAUGACACAACUGUACCAAAAAUGAUCAAAGUUUAUGUAUUAAAAACGUAAAUAUUGCCAGGUUGGUUUUCACAGCUUUUACACAAGGUGUUCAUUAUUGUAAGUUGUAAGGUAUCCUUUGAUGGUGUUUAUUUGUUCCACAUGAUUCAUUGUUGUA